CUGGCUCUUUUUCAUCUGGUUCAGUUCCUUGACCUACUUAACUCUGCAGCCACAGAAAAGCUUGCACUAGCAUACAGCAGGGAUCUGUGCAGAUUUGAGAACAAGGAAGCAAGAGCAGCAACUGCUUCAACUCAGCUGCUGCCAAGAUGAUGAUUUUUACACUUAACCUGAAAUAUUCAGCUUUUUUUUUCUUCACUUAGUGAAACAGAUCACAACCAUCUGUGGGGGAAAGAUACUGAAUGAGCAGUGGAUGCUUUGCAUUCUACAGCAGCUUCCUGCAGCCCCAAGAUCUGACCCAAGGAGACAAAAAUACUCAUGCGCAUGGAAGAAAACAGAAAACAUUAUGAAUAUACACAAUCAGACAUUUCUUCAACGCAGAAAGAUACUCCAAAUGAACAAAUGGAUAGCUUUUCUUCUCUGAAGGGAAAGGAAUCAUGUACAUCACAGACUGAAUGGGUGAAUUUUCCUUUUACUACUCUAUUUCUGAGAAGGCAUGAAGUCUCACAACAGGCAGGUAAGACCCAUAUUCAUCUAAUCUUUCCACAGAGAAUGGGAGAAAAAAAUGACAAUUAUGAUACAAAUACUUAUCCAUCAAAAAUCAGACCAUCACUAGCAAAAUCUCUCGUUUGCUACCCUGAAAAUGUGCAAACU